rnacentral:rRNA from 1 species
UACAGAGGUCUCAAGCGUUGUUCGGAAUUACUGGGCGUAAAGGGCUCGUAGGCGGCCAACUAAGUCAGACGUGAAAUCCCUCGGCUUAACCGGGGAACUGCGUCUGAUACUGGAUGGCUUGAGAUUGGGAGAGGGAUGCGGAAUUCCAGGUGUAGCGGUGAAAUGCGUAGAUAUCUGGAGGAAUACCGGUGGCGAAGGCGGCAUCCUGGACCGGCAUUGACGCUGAAGCGCGAAAGCUAGGGGAGCAAACGGGG